AACGCACAUUGCGCCUUUUGGUAUUCCAGAAGGCAUACUUGUUUGAGCGUCAUUUCACUCUUAAAAACAUGAAUUUGUUUUUAGUCUUGAGUUUUAUUUCUCUUUUUGAGAAUAACUUGAAAUGAAUUGGCAUAAGCGAAUUUCUGAGCUUUAACAACGUAAUAGGUUUUACCAACUCGUUGACUCUAGCAAACUAAUUCAUGCUUAGGCGUAAAUAACCCAAACUUUUAAAAGUUUGACCUCAAAUCAAGCAAGAUUACCCGCUGAACUUAA
rnacentral:misc_RNA from 1 species